rnacentral:ncRNA from 1 species
UAAAUAAAUUUUUUAUAGUUUGAUUAUUUUAAUUUAAGUUUAUUUUACAUAUAAAUUAUAGUGUUAAUUUUUAAUUAUUUUAAUAAUUAUUAAAUUAUAUAGUAGUAAUUAAUAUUAAAAAUUUAAGCAAUUAAGAUUUAGUAUUAUUUUUUAUUAUUAACAAAUUUUGUGCCAGCAGUUGCGGUUAAACAAAAGAUAAUUUAAAUUUUAUUAGUUUAUAAUAAAUAUGUUAUUUAAAUAAAAAUAAAAAUGAUUAAUUAAUAAGUGAAAUUUUAAUUAAUUUAAAAAUUUUUUUAUAUGAAUUAAAAAAUUUUAUAAAAAACUAGGAUUAGAUACCCUAUUAUAGAAAAUUAAUUUUUAAAUACUAAAAUAGUAUAUAAUUUUUUAUAAAAACUUAAAUAAUUUGGCGGUAUUUUAGUUCAUUUAGAGGAAUCUGUCUAGUAAUUGAUAAUCCACGAUUUAAUUUACUUAAUUAAUAUAUUUUGUAUAUCGUUGUUAAAAAAAUAUUUUUUAAUAAAAAUAAUAUUUAAAAAUUUAUUUAAUAAAUUAAUUCAGAUCAAGAUGCAGAUUAUAAUUAAGAAUAAGAUGGAUUACAAUAAGAAAAAAUUAAAUGAAUAUUAUUUUGAAAAAAAUAUUUGAAGGUGGAUUUAAAUGUAAUUUUAUUUAAUUAAAUAAAAUGAUUAAAAAUUGGAAUAUGUACAUAUUGCCCGUCGCUUUCAUUUAUAAAUUGAAAUAAGUCGUAACAAAGUAGAGGUACUGGAAAGUGUUUCUAGAAAGAA